rnacentral:tRNA from 1 species
UUGGAUAGCUCAGUCAGUAGAGUAAGAGACUCUUAAUCUCAGGGUUGUGGGUUCAAGCCCCACAUUGGGCAAAA